rnacentral:tRNA from 1 species
GGUCUUAUAGCUUAGUUAGUUAGAGCAUUGGUCUUAUGAGUCGAAGGUUGUGGGUUCAACCCUUGUUGGGACCA